AGAAACUGCUUGGCAAUUUCGUAAACUCACAUUCUCUCUCCCUCCCCUAUAUAAGCCCAGUCUCCCAUUAGGUUUUUCUAUUCUUUGCUUCCAGCUUAUUUCGCAUCCUUUUCCUUUUAGUCCUUUACUCUCAAGUUUUUAGGGUUUCCUCAGAAUUGUUCUCAAUUUUUCUUCCUUAUAUUUCUCCAAAUCGCUUUUCGAUUAAAAGUUACAAAAGGGGGUUCUUGAAGGAGUUCGUUCUCUGUUUCACGAUAUCAUAUUAAUUUAUAUCUGAAUGAGCUAAUGGAGUCUAAAGGUGGGAAAAAGAAGUCUAGUAGUAGUAGUAGUAAAUCAUUGAUCUACGAAGCACCCCUCGGAUACAGCAUUGAAGACCUUCGCCCUGCCGGUGGAAUCAAGAAAUUCAGAUCAGCUGCUUACUCCAAC